ACAUGACAAAAAUGGUCAGUUGACCACUUUAGGAGUUAUUGCCCUUUAUAGUCAAUUUUUAACCAUUUUUCGUAAAUCUUAGUAAUCUUUUAGAAAAAUCUUCUCCUCUGAAACUACUGGGCCAAAUUUAACGAAACUUGGCCAUAAUCAUCAUUGGGGUAUUUAGUUUAAAAAAUGUGUCCGGUAACUCGGCCAACCAACCAAGAUGGCCGCCAUGGCUAAAAAUAGAAC
rnacentral:lncRNA from 1 species